rnacentral:misc_RNA from 1 species
AAGUCGUCCUACCUUCGGGUAGGAUAAGAUUCCACGUAUGCUCGCUCUCCCUUGGGAGGGUUGGCUAUCAGCGGUGGUAGAUAGUAAUAUCUGCCUUUGGGAUGAAUACUUAAACCCGUGUCUACCUUCUUUGUUGCUUUGGCGGGCCGCCUUACGGCGUCGGCCCCGGCUGACCGUGCCCGCCAGAGGACCCAAACUCUUUUGUUUUAGUGACGUCUGAGUACUAUAUAAUAGUUAAAACUUUCAACAACGGAUCUCUUGGUUCU